GAAAUGCGAUAAGUAAUGUGAAUUGCAGAAUUCAGUGAAUCAUCGAAUCUUUGAACGCACAUUGCGCCCGCCAGUAUUCUGGCGGGCAUGCCUGUUCGAGCGUCAUUUCAACCAUCAAGCCCCGGGCUUGUGUUGGGGACCUGCGGCUGCCGCAGGCCCUGAAAAGCAGUGGCGGGCUCGCUGUCACACCGAGCGUAGUAGCAUACAUCUCGCUCUGGGCGUGCUGCGGGUUCCGGCCGUUAAACCACCUUCGAAACCCAAGGUUGACCUCGGAUCAGGUAGGAAGACCCGCUGAACUUAAGC
rnacentral:misc_RNA from 1 species